CCUACGGGUGGCAGCAGUGGGGAAUAUUGGACAAUGGGCGAAAGCCUGAUCCAGCCAUGCCGCGUGUGUGAAGAAGGCCUUCGGGUUGUAAAGCACUUUCAGUGGGGAAGAAAGCCUUGGGGCUAAUACCCUCGAGGAAGGACAUCACCCACAGAAGAAGCACCGGCUAACUCCGUGCCAGCAGCCGUGGUAAUACGGAGGGUGCGAGCGUUAAUCGGAAUUACUGGGCGUAAAGCGCGCGUAGGCGGUCUGAUAAGCCGGUUGUGAAAGCCCCGGGCUCAACCUGGGAACGGCAUCCGGAACUGUCAGGCUAGAGUGCAGGAGAGGAAGGUAGAAUUCCCGGUGUAGCGGUGAAAUGCGUAGAGAUCGGGAGGAAUACCAGUGGCGAAGGCGGCCUUCUGGACUGACACUGACGCUGAGGUGCGAAAGCGUGGGUAGCAAACAGGAUUAGAUACCCGGGUAGUC
rnacentral:rRNA from 1 species